ncrna:unclassified sequences cold-seep-1 RNA
GGUCCCCGCCCAGGCUGCAUUGAUUUGCGAUGGCCGCGUGAGGGGGGCUUCACCUGCGGGUGAGGCCAUCCUAUCCACUUCUGGUGCCGGACGCCGGUACUACUGAGACGGUCGCACUGCGGCGCCGCUCGAUGCCGGAGGUCUGGGGACGA